GGAGGCGUCCGGACGCCUGGUGGGUCCCGCGGCCUUCAACGCCGACGAGAGGGCGCUCGGCGCCCUCUGGCGGGUUCGAUUCCCGUCCGCCUCCGC
rnacentral:tRNA from 1 species